rnacentral:rRNA from 1 species
UACGGGAGGCAGCAGUGGGGAAUAUUGCACAAUGGGCGCAAGCCUGAUGCAGCCAUGCCGCGUGUAUGAAAAAGGCCUUCGGGUUGUAAAGUACUUUCAGUCGUGAGGAAGGUGUUAAGGUUAAUAACCUUAGCAAUUGACGUUAGCGACAGAAGAAGCACCGGCUAACUCCGUGCCAGCAGCCGCGGUAAUACGGAGGGUGCGAGCGUUAAUCGGAAUUACUGGGCGUAAAGGGCACGCAGGCGGUUAAUUAAGUUGGAUGUGAAAUCCCCGGGCUUAACCUGGGAAUGGCAUUCAAGACUGGUUAGCUAGAGUCUUGUAGAGGGGGUGAAUUCCAUGUGUAGCGGUGAAAUGCGUAGAGAUGUGGAGGAAUACCGGUGGCGAAGGCGGCCCCUGGACAAAGACUGACGCUCAUGUGCGAAAGCGUGGGGAGCAAACAGGGAUUAGAUACC